rnacentral:lncRNA from 1 species
ACAAUUUGCAAAUAAAUUUCAAGAGGUUCAAACCCACACCUUAGUUAGCGAUAAAACCCCAAACGACCCGUGAACCACAAUGCCCUUUACUUGAUACUCAAUGGUAUCUCCCUCUAAAACUAAAAAGAUUGAAGAUGACAAAACCGCAGCAACACAAAAAAGGAAAUUUGUGAGAGGAGAGGGAUAGUGAAGAGAAAGAGGAACGUGCAGAGAAACUUUGGAAAACCACUACGUGAAAACUUUCAGUUUCCUCAAAAAUAGAAAUAAAAUAAAAUAAAGAAAACAAAUAAAAAUAAAUGGGUAACCUUUUAAAACAAAACAAAGCUAAAUAAAAAAUAAUUCCCUCAAAACACACCUAUGGACUCAAACCCGGGACCCCGGACUAAACUAACACACAACCCACCACCAGACCAGUAGGCCUAUUUUGA